CCCUAAACCCAGAUACCCACUUACAAAGAUAUCCGCCAGAGAACUACAAGCCAAAUGCUUAAAACUCAAGGGACUUGACGGUGCCUCAAACCCACCUAGAGGAGCCUGUUCUAUAAGCGAUAAUCCACGAUAAACCUUACCAUCUUUUGCCCCCCAGCCUAUAUACCGCCGUCUCCAGCCUACCUUGUGAGAGGAAAGAAGUAAGCACAAUAGUCCAUACAACUAGAACGUCAGGUCCAGGCGUAGCCAAUGAGAUGGAAGAAAUGGGCUACAUUUUCUAAUAUAGAAAUAGUCACGGAGAGAGCCCUGAAUAAAGGCCUCAAAAGCAGAAUUUAGCAGUAAUUUUGGAAUAGUGAGCCAAAAUUAAACAGGAAAUGAAGC
rnacentral:rRNA from 1 species